ensembl:lncRNA
UUAUUUAUUGCCUGAAUAGGGCUAUUAACCAGCCAGGUCUCUGUGGCAAGCUUUCAAGCAGAAUGAAGUUCCCAGCUUCUCUUGUUUCCUUUCCUCCUUGGGUGACUGGAAGCAUAUUUUCUCCAAACAUCAAACUGAAAUGAGGCUAUCCUGGCUAAUAGCUAUGAAGAAAGUUAGACUUUCUGAUUGUAUCACAUUCAGCUGCCCCCAACCUGGUACCUUCUAGAGGGGUUGGAUUACAGUGCCUAUGACCCUCCAGGUUGCUGGCAUCAGGAUAAUGGAAGUUGUAGAUCAAACACAUCUUGUGGUCACCGAAGAGCGGAAGAUCUGGUCUAGUUCUUUCUAAAGCAAGGAAGAAAAGAAGGAAUCAGGCAGAAGUUCUCACUGCCUGGAACCUCUUGUAGCUUGUUCAGGCAGAUGGCUUUCCUGCAUGCCAAAAGAUGGAACUCCCUUGUCUCCAGUCUGUACAGUUUGCUGCAAGCCAGACGGGAACGGAGAGGAACGCUUUCUGCUUGCCAAUGAGUAAUGCUGUGUUCAAAAUAAACAACCGGAGAGGGGAUUGUUGUGACUUCCUGAAAGAUUUGCUGGGCCUCACUUUUUUUGUUCUGUCUUAAUGGGAAACCCUUGGCAGAAGCUCCCUCUUGUGAAACCAAUGGGCCGGCGUGCCGCAAAACCUCUCCAGCUGGAAAGAAAGGAUUGGAAGUUUACAAAAGCCCCUUUGACUCGCCCGUAUUGUCUCUGAUGAACUUUCCAGCCGGACCGCGUCUCCGUUCCUUGCACGGCAUCUCAUGCUGGGAACUUGGCUGGCCUUGCCGGCCAAGGGUUAACACCAACCUGGUUUUAACUGAAGGAUGCUGCCUAUGUUGAGGUAGGGUUGAGCUUUCCAACAGAUUGCCACACUCUUUUCUCCCUUCGCACCAAGGAGGUUAAUUGAAGGAAAGUGACUGUACAUUGGACCCAAGAGUCUCCUGCUGAGGUACUUGGCACAUAUAAAUCAGAUUUAAUUCCCCCCUUCCUUCUCCUGAUGAAUAACAAGACCCGAUAGGCUGCUAUUCUGGAGAGUGGCGCAAAUUACAGGUAUAAAUUUCACACUGAUCACAAGGUUCUCAGAAUUUAAUUAACUCUCUGCUCACUAAAGGGAAUUGUGACAAGUCUCUUCAGUUAUAACUUCACGGCUCCCAUCAUGCCUGUGUGGAGAAGUGUGGAUGAAUGAAAUUUGGGAUCAACCUCAGGCCUAGAGGAAGGCGGCUUAGGGCAGAGGUCUACUGCUCAGUCUAAGCCAGUGGUUCCCAACCUUGGGAUUCCAGAGGUUCUUGACUGCAACUCCCAGAAAUCCUGGCCAGCACAGCUAGCAGUGAAGCCUUCCGGGAGUUUUAGUCCAGGAACAUCUGGGGAUCCAAGGCUGGGAAGCCACUGAAAGGUGGCCUCGGAUGCUGACUAGCCCAGAGUUUCAGAAUUGCCACUUGUUCAUCUAUUUAUUAUGUUUAUAUCCUGCCUUUCAACUUUAAAGUAGCACUCAAGGCAGCUUACACUCUUUGUUAAAGAAUCAAAACAAGUAAAACCAAACGGAGCCACAUGAAAAUCAAAAUGAUCAAAAUCAACCAGUGCGGAGAU